GACGAACGCUGGCGGCGUGCUUAACACAUGCCAGUCGAACGGGCCUUGUCCCCUUUUUUUUUGGGGGUGGGGUUAGUGGCGAACGGGUGAGUAACACGUGAGUAACCUGCCCCUCACUUCUGGAUAACCGCUUGAAAGGGUGGCUAAUACGGGGUGUUCUGUCCUGCUCGCAUGGGUGGGUUUGGAAAGAUUCGACCGGUUUUGGUUGUUUUGGUGGGGGAUGGGCUCGCGGCCUAUCAGCUUGUUGGUGGGGUGAUGGCCUGCCAAGGCUUUGACGGGUAGCCGGCCUGAGAGGGUGGGCGGUCACACUGGGACUGAGACACGGCCCAGACUCCUACGGGAGGCAGCAGUGGGGAAUAUUGCACAAUGGGCGCAAGCCUGAUGCAGCGACGCCGCGUGAGGGAUGGAGGCCUUCGGGUUGUGAACCUCUUUCGCCAGUGAAGAAGGUCCUGCUCUUUGUGGUGGGGUUGACGGUAGCUGGGUUAAUGAAGCGCCGGCUAACUACGUG
rnacentral:rRNA from 1 species